rnacentral:tRNA from 1 species
GGGCCGGUAGAUCAGUGGAAGAUCGCCACCUUGGCAUGGUGGAGGUCGCGGGUUCAAAUCCCGUCCGGUCCA